rnacentral:misc_RNA from 1 species
AACGCACAUUGCGCCCUUUGGUAUUCCGAAGGGCAUGCCUGUUCGAGCGUCAUUUCACCACUCAAGCCUAGCUUGGUAUUGGGCGUCGCGGUUCCGCGCGCCUUAAAGUCUCCGGCUGAGCUGUCCGUCUCUAAGCGUUGUGGAAUUUAACUAUUCGCUUCGGAGUGCGGGUGGCCGCGGCCGUUAAAUCUUUAUUCAAAGGUUGACCUCGGAUCAGGUAGGGAUACCCGCUGAACUUAA